ACGCCGCGUGAACGAUGAAGGUCUUCGGAUCGUAAAGUUCUGUUGUUAGGGAAGAACAAGUACCGUGCGAAUAGAGCGGUACCUUGACGGUACCUAACGAGGAAGCCCCGGCUAACUACGUGCCAGCAGCCGCGGUAAUACGUAGGGGGCAAGCGUUGUCCGGAAUUAUUGGGCGUAAAGCGCGCGCAGGCGGUUCCUUAAGUCUGAUGUGAAAGCCCACGGCUCAACCGUGGAGGGUCAUUGGAAACUGGGGAACUUGAGGACAGAAGAGGAGAGUGGAAUUCCACGUGUAGCGGUGAAAUGCGUAGAUAUGUGGAGGAACACCAGUGGCGAAGGCGACUCUCUGGUCUGUUUCUGACGCUGAGGUGCGAAAGCGUGGGUAGCAAACAGGAUUAGAUACCCUGGUAGUCCACGCCGUAAACGAUGAGUGCUAGGUGUUAGGGGGCUUCCACCCCUUAGUGCUGAAGUUAACGC
rnacentral:rRNA from 1 species